UGAACGCUGGCGGCAUGCCUAACACAUGCAAGUCGAACGCGAAAGCGCCUUCGGGUGUGAGUAGAGUGGCGGACGGGUGAGUAACGCGUGGGAAUCUGCCCUGCAGUGGGGGACAACCCGAGGAAACUCGGGCUAAUACCGCAUACGUCCUAUGGGAGAAAGGGGGCCUUCGGGCUCUCGCUGCAGGAUGAGCCCGCGUCCGAUUAGCUUGUUGGUGGGGUAACGGCCUACCAAGGCGACGAUCGGUAGCUGGUCUGAGAGGAUGAUCAGCCACACUGGGACUGAGACACGGCCCAGACUCCUACGGGAGGCAGCAGUGGGGAAUAUUGGACAAUGGGCGAAAGCCUGAUCCAGCAAUGCCGCGUGUGUGAAGAAGGCCUGCGGGUUGUAAAGCACUUUCAGUGGGGAAGAAAAGCGCGAGGUUAAUACCCUUGUGUGUUGACGUUACCCACAGAAGAAGCACCGGCUAACUCC
rnacentral:rRNA from 1 species